AACAUGUUUUUCAAAAUAAAUCCUUCAAAUGCAUCAUCGACAAUCAUCUCAUUCUGAUUCCAAACCUCAUCCAAACUGCGUAGUGGAUCGAAAACUCGUGAUUCUCGAGAAGUCGAGUUGUCUUAUCUAAGACAUCACUAUAAUCUAGAAUAACCUCAUACAUUGGAACAGAUAAGUGAACGAAGGUCGGAUUCAAACUAAGGUC
rnacentral:lncRNA from 1 species